rnacentral:piRNA from 1 species
GAGAAAUGCGGAUAUGGGACUGA